AGUGGAUGGGGAGCAGCCUAGUUGUGCGUGUGUAAAGGUAGUGCCAAGAAAAGCGAUGAUCAUGUUGAAAAUCAAUUCCCGGUACCCGAAACCGACACAGGUGGGCAAGUAGAGAAUACUAAGGGGCGCGAGGUAACUCUCUCCAAGGAACUCGGCAAAAUGACCCCGUAACUUAGGGAGAAGGGGUGCCACCGAGAGGUGGUCGCAGUGAAGAGGCCCAGGCGACUGUUUAGCAAAAACAUAGGUCUCUGCAAACUCGAAAGAGGAGGUAUAGGGGCUGACGCCUGCCCAGUGCCGGAAGGUUAAAGAAGUUGGUCAGUUUUAGGAUGAAGCUAGCGACUGAAGCCCCGGUGAACGGCGGCCGUAACUAUAACGGUCCUAAGGUAGCGAAAUUCCUUGUCGGGUAAGUUCCGACCCGCACGAAAGGCGUAACGAUCUGGGCGCUGUCUCGGAGAGAGGCUCGGCGAAAUAGGAUUGUCUGUGAAGAUACGGACUACCUGCAUUUGGACAGAAAGACCCUAUGAAGCUUUACUAUAGCUUGGAAUUGUGUUCGGGCUUCCUGUGCGCAGGAUAGGUGGGAGGCGUAGAAGGUAUUCUUGUGGGGAUACUGGGGCCAACGGUGAGAUACCACUCUCAGGAGGCUAGAAUUCUAACUUAAUUAAGGACAGUUUCAGGUGGGUAGUUUGACUGGGGCGGUCGCCUCCAAAAAGGUAACGGAGGCGUACAAAGGUUCCCUCAGACUGGUUGGAAAUCAGUCGAAGAGUGCAAAGGCAGAAGGGAGCUUGACUGCGAGAAGUACAGUUCGAGCGGGGUGGAAACACGGUCUUAGUGAUCCGACGGUGCUGUGUGGAAGGGCCGUCGCUCAACGGAUAAAAGUUACUCUAGGAUAACAGGCUGAUCUCCCCCAAGAGUUCACAUCGACGGGGAGGUUUGGCACCUCGAUGUCGGCUCAUCGCAACCUGGGGCGGAAGUACGUCCCAAGGGUUGGGCUGUUCGCCCAUUAAAGCGGUACGUGAGCUGGGUUCAGAACGUCGUGAGACAGUUCGGUCCAUAUCCGAUGUAGGCGUGAGAAUAUUGAGAGGAGCCUUCCUUAGUACGAGAGGACCGGGAAGGACGCACCGCUGGUGUACCUGUUAUGAUGCCAAUUGUAAACGCAGGGUAGCCAAGUGCGGAGAGGAUAACCGCUGAAAGCAUCUAAGUGGGAAGCCCACCUCAAGAUGAGUAUUCUGGUGAAAGGUCACGGGAAGACGACCCGUAAAUAGGCACGAGGUGGAAGUGCAGAGAUGUAUGAAGCCGAAGUGUACUAAUAGACCGUCGGCUUGACC
rnacentral:rRNA from 1 species